UGAAACAGUUCAGACUGGUGAUGAAGAGAUCAUUUAUGCUGAUCCGACAUUCUACAAACGAAAUGAAUGUAAAUUGAGAGCUACAGAGGAAAAUCAUGUGGAGUAUGCACCUAUCUGCAUAAGAAAAUGAAACUUUCUUUUUACAAAGUAUAUGCGUCCCUUUCAUUUGCCAUUUGGAUUUAGUAUGUGGUCUCUGAUCUUUAGAAGUCCUGAACAGCUUCCAAAGUUUGGGAUGGUUGAGAGUCCACAAAUGCUGACAUGACACAACAGUUGUAUAAUGUACAUACAUUAUAUGGUUCAUAACAUUCCCAGUGGGAGUGCCAGUUCAGUUUGAAAGCCUAUGGUAUUGUUCCCUUAAAUAUACACAUAUAUGUUGUUCGAUCUGUCUUUUGAACAGCAUGGCAUGAUAAAUGUUAGGAUAAAUGCAGAGCACAACUUCUGAGUAUAACGUCACGUCAUGGGCAUAACGCCUAUAACUUAACAUUUGCGGUUGAUGUGUAUGUGGAAGUGCAUGUGAGGUGUAAACAGUAUGUGGUUAAAAAAAAAUUUCCACUGCUGCUAAUGUGAAACUCACUAUCACAGCUUUCCAAAAGGCCGCCAAUGUUGGUGGUAAAAGUGAGCAAUUAAUUAAACGCGUGCAAAUUAAAGCCAUGCACACAAUGUUUAAAAUGCUAACAGUGUCCUUUAUUGUGCCUCAAUAAACAGUUUUGCCA